rnacentral:rRNA from 1 species
GUGAGGAAUAUUGGUCAAUGGGCGGGAGCCUGAACCAGCCAAGUCGCGUGAAGGAAGAAGGAUCUAUGGUUCGUAAACUUCUUUUGCAGGGGAAUAAAGUGCGGGACGUGUCCUGUUUUGUAUGUACCCUGAGAAUAAGGAUCGGCUAACUCCGUGCCAGCAGCCGCGGUAAUACGGAGGAUCCGAGCGUUAUCCGGAUUUAUUGGGUUUAAAGGGUGCGUAGGUGGUUUGAUAAGUCAGCGGUGAAAGUUUGCAGCUUAACUGUAAAAAUGCCGUUGAAACUGUCGGACUUGAGUGUAAAUGAGGUAGGCGGAAUGCGUGGUGUAGCGGUGAAAUGCAUAGAUAUCACGCAGAACUCCGAUUGCGAAGGCAGCUUACUAAGCUACAACUGACACUGAAGCACGAAAGCGUGGGGAUCAAACAGGAUUAGAUACCCGAGUAGUCC